rnacentral:misc_RNA from 1 species
GAUCACUAUCUUUCUAUGCAAAACUUUUCAUUCAAAAGCUAUAUAGAGAAAUAUCAAGACCUUUUCCUAGAGUUCAAUGAAUAAGACGAGUAUGCAAUACUUGGGAGCACCAAAAUGGCUCUUUAUAUUUAGAGUAGCAGCAUUAGGAAGAUUGGCUACAAGGGACAAACUUGAUAGAUGGGGAUUCACAUAACUUUGGAAUGUCCUUUAUGUGCUACUAGUUUGGAGAGCAUAAGCCUUUUGUAUUUU